rnacentral:rRNA from 1 species
UGAGGGAUAUUGGGCAAUGGGGGAAACCCUGACCCAGCGACGCCGCGUGAGGGAAGACGGUCUUCGGAUUGUAAACCUCUGUCUUUGGGGACGAAAAAGGACGGUACCCAAGGAGGAAGCUCCGGCUAACUACGUGCCAGCAGCCGCGGUAAUACGUAGGGAGCGAGCGUUGUCCGGAAUUACUGGGUGUAAAGGGAGCGUAGGCGGGAAGGCAAGUUGGAUGUGAAAACUGUGGGCUCAACCGACAGACUGCAUUCAAAACUGUUUUUCUUGAGUGAAGUAGAGGCAAGCGGAAUUCCUAGUGUAGCGGUGAAAUGCGUAGAUAUUAGGAGGAACACCAGUGGCGAAGGCGGCUUGCUGGGCUUUUACUGACGCUGAGGCUCGAAAGUGUGGGGAGCAAACAGGAUUAGAUACC